UGUCCAGCACUAGACAGGCACGGACCUGAGGCCAGAACACUCCGGGAUUAAUCCUUUGCUCUAAUGCCAUACUGCUCUUCUGGCUGAUAUCUGCUCACCAUCUGCAUUACUAGUGCACUGCAGCAGUUUAUAAAAGACCAUCUCAAUAUGUACACGUGCUUAAUGAGUUAAAUGAGGGGUAGAGGUCAUGACACGCUGAGCCACGUGGUCUCUCUCAGCCCAUGGUUCACGCAGUUAUUUCCCACAUUUCAUUACGCACUCAGAGCGACCCGCAUCUUUAAAUUCAGCGUUUCUUUCUCAGGUUUCAGCGAGCCGGUGCAUCGCCAGCCUAGGCUAUUUUUGAGAACAUUCUUCCUCUGUUGCAGAGGCUGCACGCAGGGGGAAUGUUAAAUAAAGAAAUCCGCAUCUUUCGCGAUUAAGUCUCCCCUUGCGUUUUCUCGCGGUUUGUUUUCGAAGCCAGGUCGUACUUUUAAAGGCGGUUUCGCUCACUUGGACAGUGGGCAGAAGCGGCGAGCAAAUGCGGAUACUACAAGGCAUAACACGGACUUCUGGCACCCUGGUGAGAGCACGCUGAGGGAGGCCUCCAGCCUGUCUGAACGCAGCGGCCCGUGUGUGAGCUGGAGCCGCAAGGGGAAAGUCUGCUGAUCAGGCACAUUUCACAGCGCAGGGAGAGCACAGAUUCAGCUGCUUCAGCGGGCGGAGUCAGCGCAGUGAGCUGGGCCAUUAUCUACACCUGGUUCCUGCAAACCAAGUGAACACAAUCAGCUGGGCCAUUAUCUACACCUGGUUCCUGCAAACCAAGUGAACACAAUCAGCUGGGCCAUUAUCUACACCUGGUUCCUGCAAACCAAGUGAACACAAUCAGCUGGGCCAUUAUCUACACCUGGUUCCUGCAAACCAAGUGAACACAAUCAGCUGGGCCAUUAUCUACACCUGGUUCCUGCAAAGCAAGUGAACACAAUCAGCUGAUACAAAUGCUGCUCAGUGCAGUUUUCUCAAUGUUUUGGGUUUGAGGGACACAUAUUUGCCAAAUGCCUGUAAUAUUUAAUGUUAUUGACGGGCUUUCAGAUUCUGUGCUGGCUUGAAAAAUAUGCUGGAUUUAUCCAGAGAGUUUAGAACUCUGUGCACAUGCCUUUAUUUCGAGGAAUGUGUGAUUCAGGGUGGAUGAUGAGGUUCAAAUGUUUUACCCACAGAAAUAGUGGCUCAUUCAGUUUUAUUUGUACUAGAGUAACAUAGCCUUGUUAAAUAUGUGGUUAAAUAAACCACUUGAUAUUCAUAAUAUAUGUAUUAUUAUUCAGAAAACAUACAUCUUAUAUACAGUCUUUCUUUCCAAACUGUAAUAUAUUGUCUGAUAAUAAAACAAUUAGUUAUAUUUCUGUAACAAUUCUCACUCAUUUUAAAGGACCCUAAAGUAGUUUACAGGAAGAAGAAGCAUGUCAGCCUGACUACCUUACCUUACUCUUAUGGGCGGCCAUCUUAAUCACCUCAGCUUUCGCUUAUGGGCGGCCAUCUUGACCUCGUAUAGAUUUCCUAAGACACACUGCAUCUUUCCCAGCCUGAAGGCCCACUGUAGCCAUCAGACCUGAGUCAUUUAAAUUUCAGUAUAAAUGGCAAAAUAUACAUUACGUGGAAAUCUGAAAUUGCCUCAGAAACAUGAAAAAUGUUUAGUUUAGAACUUAUAGAGCGUAUAAAUGAGUGUGAGCACAUGGUGUCAGAAUGAGCUCCAUAAAGGGCUUGCUGUUGCAGGACCCCUGGCAUGCUCGUCCCCGCUCUCCCUCCCACUGGUGUUUUUUUUUUUUUAAUUUUUACACUGGCUAUAUAAUGACAUUUCCAGAGGCAGGGUUUCCGUUCUUGGGGCUGCCCAGGAGAGAUCUCACUGUGUAUUACAUUUCAGGAGUGGAAAUGAUAUCUCGAAAAGGGGAGAUUGGUACUGGGAGUUUGAAAGGGGGUUAUUGGUACUGGGACAGGCUGAAAAGGGGAGAUUGGUACUGGGACAGGUUGAAAAGGGGAGAUUGGUACUGGGACAGGUUGAAAAGGGGAGAUUGGUACUGGGACAGGUUGAAAAGGGGAGAUUGGUACUGGGACAGGCUGAAAAGGGGAGAUUGGUACUG